UCCUUGUUAGUACAAUGGCUAGUAUAGGGCACUCUCAUCUCGCUGUGACUGCUCAGAUCGGGGUUCAAUUCCCCGGCAGGGAA